rnacentral:rRNA from 1 species
AACGAACGCUGGCGGCAUGCCUAACACAUGCAAGUCGAACGAGACCUUCGGGUCUAGUGGCGCACGGGUGCGUAACGCGUGGGAACCUGCCCUUAGGUUCGGAAUAACUCCCCGAAGGGGGUGCUCAUACCGCUUAGUGUCUUCGGGCCAAAGAUUUAUCGCCUUUGGAUGGGCGCGCGUUAGAUUCGCUAGUUGGUAGGGUAAAAGCCUACUAAGGCGACGAUCCAUAGGUGGUCUGAGAGGAUGACCAGCCACACUGGGACUGAGACACGGCCCAGACUCCUACGGGAGGCAGCAGUGGGGAAUAUUGGACGAUGGGCGAAAGCCCGAUCCAGCAAUGCCGCGUGAGGGAUGAAGGCCUUAGGGUUGUAAAGCUCUUUUACCCGGGAUGAUAAUGACAGUACCGGGAGAAUAAGCUCCGGCUAACUCCG